ensembl:lncRNA
AAAUAAACAGAUUCCUUCCUCAGAAGCAGAUUUAGAUCCACCCUCCCCUCCUCUACACAUAUAUAAUAUCUCCCCCCUGUGUGUGUGUGUGUGUGUGUGUGUGUGUGUGUGUGUGUGUGUGUGUGUGUGUGUGUGUGUGUGUGUGUGUGUGUGUGUGUGUGUGUGUGUGUGUCCCGGCUGACUGGAUCAAACAAGGCAGGCUUCUGUCGUUGUUGCCGUGGAGACUGAAUAGCGUAGCGUCAAUAAUAGGAUGUGUUUAACGCGGGCCCGACUGGUUCCGACCGGUCAGGCCCGUGCUGGUUCGUGUGUUCCUUUUGAUACCAGGUUGUGUAUCUAUGUUGUGUCCCAGUGUGUGUGGAUGAUGUACGUGAUGUAAGCGCGGUGGGCGUCAUGGCGACCUGCUAACACUACGUUAGGAUGGUUUCCUGUGUUGUUCUCCUGCCCACUUCUCAUUGGACGGGCACAGUGGGAUUUCCUGGACCAAACAGGAAGCAGGAAGGGUCGCGUAGAUAGGGAAGGCUUGUUCCACUUCCUCUACCAAUCAGAGCACAGUGAGAGUCUUGUUCACCCCCCCCCGGUUCUGUCCUGGUGCUAGGCCACGCCCCCUCAGACCCGUCACAAACUAGUGCCUCUUCCUCCAAUCCCGCGCUGAUUCACUCUUAGCUCCUCCCCCUAAUGUGGGUCAGACCCAAUAACCGAUCGCCAGUCAUCUCAUCCUAAUGUCCUCAAACUGGAGGCGAUAAACAACGUAGAUAAUCCACCAGCGCCUGGACCCCCACCUGGUCCCCCGCCCCCUACGGAGGUCUGGGGGUCCAGGGUGGGGUCCAUACCUCCGUAGGGGGUCUGGGGGUUCAGACCUCCGUAGGGGGACUGGGGUCCGGGCUUGCGGCCGUCUUUAGUCCUGCCUGGAUGGGGUGCCCUUGUUUCUGUAAGACGGUGAGGCUCAGAAAGAUGCUUAUUAUUAUUUUUAGACGUCACCGGAUUGACUUAUUUGUUUUUGUUUUGUUCAGUGAUAUAUAUCCUAUUUUUUUCUGGAAGAGGCGGCGCACUCUGAAGAUUGAUCUGACUGGAAUAGUGGUCUGACUGGAAUAGUGGUCUGACUGGAAUAGUGGUCUGACUGGACCAGUGGUCUGACUGGACCAGUGGUCUGACUGGAAUAGUGGUCUGACUGGAAUAGUAGGUCUGACUGGACCAGUGGUCUGACCGGACCAGUGAUCUGACCGGACCAGUGGUCUGACUGGACCAGUGGUCUGACUGGAAUAGUGGUCUGACCGGACCAGUGGUCUGACCGGACCAGUGGUCUGACCGGACCAGUGGUCUGACCGGACUAGUGGUCUGACCGGGGAUUUGACCGCCCGCUCUGUGUGAUCAGAUGUAUAGGAGGAACGAUGUAUAUCUCAGCGUGAUAUUGUUUAACGCGGUAUGUAAAGUGUCAGUCGGUUCCUCUUUACUGCACUGUGGAACCGGGGGCGGCGCUCUCUUGUGAUUGGUCGACUUUCUUGAAUGCGUCUGGAUUUAUUUCCCGACUGAGGAGGGAACCGUAACUCCCGGUUCCUCCGGAGAACCCGCCCCCACAGGUUCUGCGGAGGCGGGCAUCACAAUGUGGGUGAGCGGUUCCUGGCAGAUGUCGGUCUCCAUGGCGACCAGGGCGCACGUGGAAGUCUAAACAUGUGGUCUAGUGGUCGGCCCUUUACUGACGCAGAGACCAGUGGGGAGAAAGAGGAUUUAAAUGAAAUGCAGUCCACACCUUUUGCUUUGUAUAACUGGAACCUCCUUUUGUAUUAUUUUAUAUAAUUCUUUGAUAUUGUGGUUGUAAUCUUCCUUGUGCCAUUGGUCCACCUGAAAUCCAACCACCAAUAAAAAAUAAACGGGAUUUGGAAAACUA